rnacentral:misc_RNA from 1 species
GAUGAAGAACGCAGCAAAAUGCGAUAAGUAAUGUGAAUUGCAGAAUUCAGUGAAUCAUCGAAUUUUUGAACGCUCAUUGCGGCCGCCAGUAUUCUGGCGGGCAUGCCUGUUCGAGCGUCAUUUCAACCCUCAAGCACAGCUUGGUGUUGGGACUCGCGUUAAUUCGCGUUCCCCAAAUUGAUUGGCGGUCACGUCGAGCUUCCAUAGCGUAGUAGUAAAACCCUCGUUACUGGUAAUCGUCGCGGCCACGCCGUUAAACCCCAACUUCUGAAUGUUGACCUCGGAUCAGGUAGGAAUACCCGCUGAACUUAAGCAUAUCAAUAAGCGGAGGA